CUUCCUACGGGACGCAGCAGUGGGGAAUAUUGCACAAUGGGGGAAACCCUGAUGCAGCGACGCCGCGUGAAGGAAGAAGUAUUUCGGUAUGUAAACUUCUAUCAGCAGGGAAGAAAAUGACGGUACCUGACUAAGAAGCCCCGGCUAACUACGUGCCAGCAGCCGCGGUAAUACGUAGGGGGCAAGCGUUAUCCGGAUUUACUGGGUGUAAAGGGAGCGUAGACGGCUGUGCAAGUCUGAAGUGAAAUGCCGGGGCCCAACCCCGGAACUGCUUUGGAAACUGUACAGCUAGAGUGCAGGAGGGG
rnacentral:rRNA from 1 species